UUAGUGAUAAUUUAGAAAUGGAGCGAGUUGUUGUUUAGUUGAAAGAAAAAUAAAGGAAGAAAUAGAAAAAAGUGAGAAGGAAAUAAAAAAAGAAUAAAUAGGAAAAAUUAGUUGAAAAAUGAAAAAAGAAAAGAAAAAUAAGAGUUGGAGAAAAAGUGAGUGAAUAGAGGAAAACCAAUAAUCAAAAGGCUAGGGAGGAGAAAG
rnacentral:lncRNA from 1 species